rnacentral:rRNA from 1 species
ACUUAGAAAUAGGUGCUAAAACCGCAUAAGCGCACAGCUUCGCAUGAAGCGGUGUGAAAAACUCCGGUGGUGUAAGAUGGACCCGCGUCUGAUUAGCUUGUUGGCGGGGUAACGGCCCACCAAGGCGACGAUCAGUAGCCGGCCUGAGAGGGCGGACGGCCACAUUGGGACUGAGACACGGCCCAGACUCCUACGGGAGGCAGCAG